rnacentral:rRNA from 1 species
UGGGGGAUAUUGCACAAUGGGCGAAAGCCUGAUGCAGCGACGCCGCGUGGGGGAUGAAGGCCUUCGGGUUGUAAACUUCUUUUGCUCUGAUCAAGGCGCACCAUGGGGUGUGUUGAGUGUAGGGGUUGAUUAGCGCCGGCUAACUACGUGCCAGCAGCCGCGGUAAUACGUAGGGCGCGAGCGUUGUCCGGAAUUAUUGGGCGUAAAGGGCUUGUAGGUGGCUGGUUGCGUCUGUCGUGAAAGCUCAUGGCUUAACUGUGGGUUUGCGGUGGGUACGGGCUGGCUUGAGUGCAGUAGGGGAGGCUGGAAUUCCUGGUGUAGCGGUGGAAUGCGCAGAUAUCAGGAGGAAUACCGGUGGCGAAGGCGGGUCUCUGGGCUGUUACUGACACUGAGGAGCGAAAGCAUGGGGAGCGAACAGG